GAACAAAGAACUUUUAUUUAUGGCAUUAUUUGCUCUUUUGUUAUAUUACUCUGAAGAAUCCAUAGAAAGGACUGACAAGGAAAAUCAGAAGAUCUUAAAGCAGGUCAGUAUAUUUUUCUCCUUAUAUAAUUCCUCUGAAAUUUGGCAAUGCUUAAUAAAUCAUGGCAAUACAUUUCUCUGCAUAAACUCAAUAAGACCGGUUUCUAAUAGUGGUUUUAUUGACCGCAAACUUUGACUGUAGUGUCAUGUUUUAAAGAACCCUGUCUGAACUCUGAAGACUUGAAGCCAAUAAGAGUGCCAAGGAAAAGCCUGGUAUCCUGCUUGGAAGCCCUGAAAAUGGCUGGUGCUGGAGCAUCAGGCACAUGCCCAGAU